rnacentral:lncRNA from 1 species
ACACGGCAACUUGGAUUCUAUGUCUGCAGAAAUGAUCAUCUCCUUCGAGCUGCUCUCAUCCCUCUGUCUUUUCUCUCCAUUAACCUGAUUUCCUACCAGGCUUUUCUCAGUUAUGUGGGAGGAUGCAGAAUUUAAUCCUUAUUCAUUGUUCCUUGAGGAUUUACCACAUGACAGACACUGUUCUGAGCAUUCUGCAUGUAUUAAGCCCAUUUAACAUGAGGUAGGUAGGGAUUGUUAUCAUGCCUAUUUGUGUUUGAGGAAACUGAGGCCCAGCAAGGGCAGGGAGUCAAUCGUCUGUGCUCUAUAAACACAGCGAACAGCCCUGAAGGAGUCCCCCUACUCUUGAGAAGCCAAUGUUUCUAGAGUGGGGAGACAGAAAGUGAAGAAGAGAACAAAUGAGGUAAUUUCAGGAAUAAAUUAGAAGGACGUUUAUGAAGGAGACUGGCCCAAUCUCAUUCUAGGUCACACAGUAGCUACUAAGGGGGGGCACUGGGCCCAGAACCCAGGCUAUCUGACGCCAAGGGCAACCUAACAUUGCACCCCACAUCAUUCUUCUUAAAGGGGCUUAUCUGGCAUUUCCUAUAUGGAUUAUGAAUUAUUACAUAUAGGCAUUUCCUAUGUGGAUUAUGAAUUAUUACAUAUAGAACAAUGUAGCAAAGAAGAAGGUAUUAAAAAGUUUCUUUUAAAAAAUUCAGCAAAUAAUAACAACCAGAUGAAGGAAACUUCUCUAGGUCAUUUGCUUCAGAUCCACACUUCGGAUGAAAAUGGCUGAAAAGGAGGCAGAGAUGGCAGAAGACUAAAGGAAAGCGCCGAGCUGUGACUUGACGCCCAUUCCAAGGGCAGUGUGGCUCUUGUGAGACCAAAAGAAGAGUAGGAAUGAACGCGUGGGUCCUGUGAGCAGCGGGUGGCUUUGCUGAGCUUGGUGCUCUUAGAAGACCAGCCACUUUUGUCCCUGCAGCCCGGGGCCACAGAGCCAGACACCAGACCCACAGCAGCCCGGGAAGUAACGGUCGCUCUGUCUCGUCUGGGAAGAUCUCCGUUGCCAGGGCUUGCUGGACCCGCCCCCGCACAGCUUCCCAGCAGUCCCGAUUCCGCCUGAGGCUCCAGAAGGCGAAGCUGUACAGGAGGCCACUUUUCUUCUCAGCCUAGAACUCGAGAGACCUGAAAGGAAGGACGACUGGCCACAGGAGAUGUUUCACAGAGCCGCUGAAUGAACAACACAGUCAAUUCUGAUCAACUUUCCAGUGCUAUCUGGGGCUUCUUUCCUCAUCAGGGAAGUAAACAUUUUACCAGAAACUCCCUGGCAGCCUUUUCCUGAACUGUCCUAAGGGCUAUGGCUGAAGUGUAAGUGAGUGGCCCUGGAGGUGGGUGCCUCUCCCCGGCGCAGUUUUUCCUUCCAUCACAAGCAUGGCUGAAGCUGGGUGGUGGUGCAUACAGAUUCCAGCCAGCAAGGAGGGGAAAGAGAGUUCAGAGGACUCACCUCCACUGUCCCCGACCCAGGCCUGUAGCAUCUAUAUUGGCUCCUCUCAGGUUCCACAGAAUUCCUCAAGAUGACUGAGGUUGGUCCCUGAAGAAACCAAAUUCAGUGUAAGAAAACCAACAUCACAAAGAGGAACCAUGAACUGGCAGCAAGAACACAUCACUGCUCCUCUGUAAUGUGCUCAAAUCAUUUUUCAGUCAUGUGAAAAUCAACAAGAAAAGACCGUUGGGGUUUCAAACAGCUUUAUGCUCCCAUCUGGAGUCCAAAAAAGGCUCAUUUAACUUAACACAGCCACGUUUUUCAAACACCUGGUUCCUCAAUGGCAUUCCGUUGAAAAAAAUUCUUCCAAAACAAGAGCAAAAUCUCAGUUAUUGUUUAAGCAGUCGUCAAUGUGUGUGAGGAGUCAUACUCUCUGUGUGUUUAAACCUUC